UCAAGACCAGCCUGGCCAACAUGGUGAAACCUUAUCUUUAAAAAACAACUCAGGAAAAGAUCAGAAAUAGAAACUCUUUUCAGAAAUGAGAACUAAACUAGAUGGAAUAUAAGAACCAGUCAAUUCAAAAGACAAUGCCUUAACAAAAACAAAAGAAAACCAGAAAACUUCAAUAUUCAAAAAUACAGCAAAAAGAAUCAAAUCUCAACAAUAUAUUUUAAAACAGGUAAAAAAUAUUUUUAAAAAGGUGAAAAAUAUUGAAAAUAGGCAAAGAAGAUUGAAUAUAUGACUAACUGGAGUGCCUGAAGAAGAAAAGCAAAGCAAUAAUCAAAACCAAUGCUGAUUCAAGAAAAUUUUCCUGAAAUUAAAAAAAAGAGGUAUGAAAUUGUGUAUUUCAAAUAUGUUGAACGACCACAUUGUAUUCCUGUUCUACAGAACCAGAAUGACUACCAAAGACAAUCUAAUAAAAUUACUGAACUUUAAAGCAAACAACAACAACAAUUCUUGGGCAUGUAGCUAAAAAAAAAAAAGACGUAUUAACAAAAGAAAAUUGAGAUUAUCAUUAGACUUUGACAGCAACACUUUGCCAGAAGAAAGUGAAGUAACACAUUCAAGAUACUCAAAAUAGAAUGUACGAGCCAGGGAACUUACAUUCAGCGAAACUGACUUUCAUGUUUAAAGGACAAAGAAAAGCGAUGAUCAACUUUUAACAACGGAGGGAAUAUUAUUCCCAGGAACUUUCCUAGGGAAUUUACCAGGGAGCAAGUGUCAGGCAAUAAAGAAUGACUCCAGAGACAUCACCAUUAGGACUGGUGGUAAGAGACAGUCACCCGAAGACUGAGAGGGAGAGAGUAUCUUACGUAAUGGCUGCAUGCUCUAGCAAUGUAAAUACAGCCAAACUAGUCAAAAAUAGGAGGAAAGAACAUACAAAAAAAUAGUUAAAAGGUCUUCUGUAAUUAUGCUCAUGGUAGUAUUUGUAUCAUUUUUGGAGAAUAUGAAACUAAAUUAGUAAUUCUGGAGUAUUCUAUUAUUCCUUGUGCCCUUGAGAACCAGAAUUUUCAUGUGGGAGAAAGGAAAUCCAAAUGUAAUAGAGAAGAGGUUAAGUAAAAGCUCUGUAGUCUUGAAUUUUAAUUGGAAGUAUCAAUAUAAAUGGCAAGAGAUUUACAUACAUAAGCAUGUUUCCUAGCUCUGUUCCCUGAAAAGGCCUAGAAACAAUGGCCAACCCAGUAGCAAUGAGUAUCCUAAGCCAGGUUUUGGUCUUGAGAUGUAAUUUCUCACUGAAAGAAACCAGUGUUUCCUGAAGAAAUGUCUGAUGCCAGGUUUGGAGGCAGGAAACGUACAAGAUGAGCCUGGAACCUUUUGUAGUAUCAGAUAGCAAGAGAGCUAUCAAAGACUGCUAGGUUCAUGUAGAAAAAAGUACUCAGGUGUGAACCUGAAGUAUUUCUCACUGACCGAAGAUGGGGGGUUUGGGGUUUAAUAAUUAUUUUAAUAAUUAAAUUAAACAAAUUAAAUAAAAAAUAAUUACAAUGAACCAAGAUGCAUCAAACGAGUUUAAAUUCACCAGGCAAUUGUGUGUGUGUGUGUGUGUGUGUGUGUGUGUGUGUAUGAAUCUAAAGGUGACAACUCAUAUAUAUAUGAGUUCACAUACAUAUAGAUAUAUGAGUUCAUAUAUAUAUACACACACACAUACAAUAUAAUUGUCACCUUUGGAGGAUGAUAGGGAACAACAAUUCAUUAUAUUAAAAGUGGUAAUUAAAGGGAGUCUAACAUUUAUUUUGCUUUGGCUUGUAUGAACACUAACACUGGUAAAUAUUAAAUGGGAGAAAUUGUCUCUUUAUAAAAAUAUUCCAACUAAUAAAUAAAAAAUAAGUUAUAAACUUAGAAUAUUACCAUUUUUCAACUCCCAGUGAAUAAAUCGAUAUAGAUAUUAACCACAUUGGCUACUAAGAUCACUAAAAGAGACAAAACGAGACCUGGUAUGUCUCCUGCAGUCUUGUAAAAGGGACUGAACCUCAGUCUAUCCAAUCUCUGGAUCAACUGUCAACUAGCAAGAAAUACAAGGGACAGAGGAACAUGGUGAGCUGCACCAGGAUUAUGCCACCAGCAAAACUCACACACUGGGAAAUCUCCACAGGCUUCAUCAACAAAUAAACUGUAAGUAAAUGAACAGGGUGAAGGAGGAACCCGUAAGUUGAAAGAGAAUUAAAAGUCGUAUCUUUUUAAAACAGAAAAACUCACCUAUAGUUUCUAGGCAUAAACAUUUGGGUAAUAAAACUAUUUUUUUAAAAAAUGCAAGUGAUUACCAUGAAAGUCAAGGUAGUGGUUACUUAUGGAGGAAAGGAAAGAGCUGGGAUCAAAGGGAGCUCUAGGGUGGGUAGGAAAGUUCUGUUUCUUGUUUUAGAAAGUAUUGGUCUUAUAAAAAUUCAUUACAUCAACCAUUUGAUUAAGGCAGUUUUCUUUAUCUGUUUUAUUUAAAAGCAAAUAGAUUUUUAAAGGUAUAAUGGUACCUAUCUAGUGGGAAAUAAUGUAGAUUGAAUGCCAGCAUUUCUUUUGAACAGUGUCAACAUGAUGAGGAUUAUUAGUAUAUUUUCCACUAAAAGACAUACACUUUGAGAAAGAAAAUCUAAUAUCGACUCAACUGUUUCCUCAUAGGACAAAAUGUAGAGAAAACUCAGCUAUAAAUUGAAUGGUUACUUUGGUAUAUUUUAAAAACUAAUAUUAAGCUCUUAUCAAGAGCCAGCUACCGUGCUGUAUUACCUAAAUUAAUCUGCACACCAAUCCUAUGAGGCAGAUUACAUUUAGUCUGCCCAUUUUAUAGAUGACAAAGCCGAAGCCAAGGAAUUAAGUAACUUGCCCAAAAUUACGUAAAUAGAAAAGUGGUACCUGGAAGCCAGGUCUAGCUGACUCCUAUAAGUAGAUUCCAUCUCCUUUCUUCAGUGCCUGCCACGGGGCCUGGUACAGAGUAGGUGCCAGCAUUUUUUUAAAAAAUAGAAUUAGACUGUCAUGCUGAGUCCUAAAGAUCAGCAAACAGAUAUUAAGAUGACAUAAGCUACUCCCUGGAGCACCACUUUUUGGAAAAAGAGAAAAAAGAAGCGAUGAGUUCCUUUGAGCCCAGCAGUCACAGAGACCCUCCUGUAGGACAGACUGGUCUCCUCAGCACUAGGGCUCGAGUCCAAGCUGGCAAGAUGCUUUCUGCAUCAAGAUUAAAUGUGUCUGGGAAACCAGAGAGACGAAAGAAACAGCUACAUGCUGCUGACAGCAGGGAGUACAGGCAAAAAUGUUUUCUGUACCCCAGGAAUGCAAAGUCACCACCCUGACACAUUGAAUUAUCAGCUUUAUACUAAGAAGCAAGAUGCUAGAGGAGUUCAUGUUUCCUCCCUAGAUGCUGGAAACCAUCACCAAAGAGGAUCAGAAGCAGCAUGGGACCAGUGGAAAAACUAUCCUGACUGACACACUGAUUAAGUUGCUGGACCUAGAGGACCAAGUAGCAGCCUGUGGUCCUGAGCUAGGAAAGCCGAAUGAUGGCUCGGCUCUGUGUCUCAAGACCACCUGUAGGCCCAAAACCUCUGUCUGGCCAGACAAGAAAUGCUUUGGAAAAAGAAUGUGCUUUUCUGUUUUUGAGAUUCACAGCCACGGAACCGGUAAAAUGAACACAGCUGGUAUCUUAAUUCCAUGGUCUUAGAGCAAGAAAAAUUAACCAUCCACCAUAGCUCUAGCAGUGCUUCCUAAACUGUUGUGAGGAGUACUAGGUGCAAGGAAUGCUAAUAGGUAUUUUGUGGAAAGGGCCUUCUGAAAAAUGCCGGGUCAAACAAAGUGAACUCGAUUUCUCUAUAGCUGGACUUAAGUAGUGUACACUGUUAAUAUAUUUAAAAAGUAAUAGUAGGUGUAAAAUGCAACAAUUCCAAAUUUUAUGGGAUCAGAAAAUAUACCAACAUCUUUGGUUCUAAUAUUUCAAGGAACAGGGUUCUGGAAAUGCUGGCUUAUGAUAUUAGUGCUGAAUCCUGCAGUGGCCAACAUGGUCUCUCAGGGCCUGGAAACUGACCUCUCCUCUGCUUGAUCCUCAGCCACACCCCUUCUGCCUGUGCUCCAGCCACAGGAGCACUCACAGUACCCAACGAUGCCACAUGCCUUCAAGGCUGCUUGCCUCUGCUCAUGCCACUUCCUGCCCCCUGCUCCUGGGGAGCUCCUAUUCCUCCUGUGAGGCCUCAUUCCAGACACAUCCAUCCCUGGGAAGCUUCGCCUCAGCAACCAGUCUGCAGUGAUUAGCCCUGCAUUUAAAUGUCUACCAGCCUGUGCAUUCUACUACAGCGCCCACCCCUUCCUGCAGCUCUCUGCUUCCUUUCCUCCUCUGCCUUUCACUGUCUUUGACAGUGGCCAGGUCUUAUUUGUCAGUGUGUGCAAGUCAGUGCCUUGGCCCUGUCUGCAGUGAGGACCACUACUGCAAGAUUUCAAAUGCCUGUUCCAUGUUCUCCUAAUAAGGCUUGAUUAUAACAUAUUUACAAUUCACUAUAACUCAAAGUUCCAUUGUUAAUGCAAUCACUGAUAAAUAAACCUUAUAUGAAUGUGGCUACUUUUA